CAGGUGGUAGAGCACUGCAGACACUUCCUGGACUCUGCGCACGAUUUUCUCCGGAUCGUCUGCAUCCUCCUCGCGGCCCGGGAGGCCGCGGUACAGGGCCAUCUGCCAGCGCAGAGACGGGGAGCCUUCGACCUGCGGGGAGCAAGGAGGGCCAGCGUGAGGGCAGCUCCCACGCCCGCUCACUCCUUGCUCUGCCCAGCUUCUCUGACGGCGCUCAUGGCAGAGGCGGCCUUCGGCGGCCGGGUCCCCCCUCCACACUGCCAGCCUUCCAUUGGGCGAGUGCCUGUUAAGGUCCGGCGGUGCCUGGUACACACGUCGACUUGGCCAAUUAUCACAAAGUGAACAUGCUGUGUCCACCACCCAAGACAAGAGACAUACAGGGAGAAACAAACUAGAACCAAGCUCACAGAUGUGUAAGAAGUGGAGAUGCUCCUCAGACACAACAGCAUGUAUAUAACUGAAGGUUUCUGGAAGCUCUCUAUUCCUAAGAACAGGCCGGGUGAUGGAGAAAGGCCUGACCAUCUUGCCUCACCCCUGUUCGCCACACUGUGGACACAGUGCUGGAGGGACGACGUGGGGCUCUAAAACUGCAGCUGCAACCCUCACGCGGUGGCGGGAUUCAAGGAGCAGAGGCGGCAAAUCCAAGGGACUUGGGUCCGGGCGUAGG